rnacentral:lncRNA from 1 species
GAGCCACCAGGGAGGCCCUAUCAACUUACUAUGCCACCAUUAAAAACAUAUAACAGCAUGGGAAAAUAUUAGUGAUAUCUCAAUGAAGGAAUCACAGGCUUCGCUUUUUGAAGAUGAAUACUUUGAGAGGAAAGAGAAGUCCCGCUAGGAGAACAACUUUAAGAGCAUAAUGCUGAUUCUCUCUGUAUAGAGGUUUCUCUGGUCAUUAUUGGAAGGAGAAGGAUUCGUCAGUUCUUGUGUAAUUGAUGAUGAGCCAAUACUUGGUGAGCAAAAGAUGACUGGAUUUUUUCCAGCCUUAACUGAGGCUAGCUGAGAGCGAGGUCUGUAGGACUGAGUGUGGGUGAAGUUGGUGCUGCCAGAAUCAAAAGGAGGGAAUUCCAAGCGACAGGACGAUUAGGAUCC